UUGUGGAUAAGCAUCAUCAUUCUUAAUGGUUAAGAAAGCUUGUGGAUAAGCAUCAUCAUUCUUAAUGGUUAAGAAAGCUUGUGGAUAAGUACUAUCAUUCUUAGUGGUUAAGAAAGGUCAAAGAGGAUAAGAACCAUCAUUCUUAUUAGCUAAGAAGGCUUUGGAAACCAAUAGAUAAGUUAGAAAGUCCUUGAGAGCCUUAAACAUUAAGAUUAUGAAAAUAGUUUGGAGAUUGUUUUAUCGGGUAGCGAUGAACUUCCAGUUAAAGAGCCAAUUGGGAUUGAAUCCGAGCUCGGAACCCAACCAAACUUGAUAUAUGACAUGCUUGGGAUGUCUUAAGGUUAAAAUGGUCAUUUAUCCCCAAGAAUUACGUGGCUCAAUAGGUGAAAUUGCUUACAUAGUAAAACCUGGCCAGCUAAAAUUACAGCUCAGACCUAUGCUCAAAGAAAGCUGCUUAGCAGCUUCUUAAAUGUCGAUCUCUCAAAGAACUUUUUAUGCAUGAAAGCCAACACCUUAGGCUAACAACUCAAGCAAGAAUCACCUAAAAACUCCAAGAAACCGACCUUGCCCAGAUGAGGUUUCCCUCCCCUGGGGGUACCGCCAGAACAGACUAUAAAAGCCUGUUCUGGAUUUUCGUCUCUUUUCUCUUAUUUCUUCCUCUUGAACACGCACUUUUCUUUACAUAUAACUCUUCUAGACAUCCAUACAAAGUAGUUCAAGCUUUGGUUCCAAUCUUUAGACCUUAAACUCAUAUAGAAAACCUUGCUGAAAGAUCACAUAAGUUGUUGGGAAGCUGUAGGAGUAGUUAACCAAGUGGAUUAAGGAAUUUCGUGGCUUCAAGCAUCCUUAGUUAAGAGUCAAACAUCGUUGCAGGUUUGGUGUUGUGAGCUCAGGAUUCCGAAGCGAGGCAAGAUAAAGAUGCCGUCGUAGCUUAUGGAUUGAGUUUGUAUUUUAGAUAGUUAAUUAAGGAAUAGUUUCUGAUAUAUUUCGUUGUAUACAAUAUUUGGGAAUAUUAGUCGAGAUAUCAGUGUAAUUGAAGUCUUAUAUAAAGGAUUUUGUUUUGUGGGCCAAUAACCCACAAGUUCAGGAUCGUUUUCUAGGUUAUGUUUCCGUUGCGAGUAAAUGUUUAUUUCGAGGCUUA